CUUUGAGACUUCACUUCUGUCACAGAGAGCUUGAAGCUAUAGAUUUAGCUUUCAAUACGUGGUUCCAGGAAGCCCUUUGGCGCUCUCACCUCUGGUUGAUUUUGCUGGCAAUCCAUACCAGCAACAUCUGACUUCUAAUUGGCUUUGAUGUCUCUUUCCACAGGCUUUCAGUUUUCUCUUUCCACAGGCUUUCAGUGUACCGCCUUAAAAAGACCAUUGUUCUAUAUGGAGGGUCUGGCAUGCCCAGGUUUACAGAGCCAGGUGGAAGUCAGAGGAAAACUGGACAGAAAGCAAGACUUGUUAUAUACCAGAUGUUUUUCUCUGAAUUAAAUUUUCCAAGGAUGGCAAGAGCCAUUGACCAGUACAUAAGAACAGCAGGACCCCAAGCAUAAUUUCCUCAGAACCACACUGUGGGUUUAGAAACACACUGCUGAAACCAAGGUAUUCUAAACAAUAUUAGAGAUUUUGGGAUGAAAACACCUGGAAAGCAUCUGAAAAGAUAUAGAAACUCACAGCUGCAUAGAUCUGAGAAAACUAG
rnacentral:lncRNA from 1 species